UCAACAGCAAAAUGCUGUUUUCGUGUAAUAACAGUAAGUUGCUGUUUUUUACAGUGCAUUGUGGGUAGACUCGCUCACUUCAGAUCUGUUGUCGAGCAACAACAGAAUGUUACUGUUAUUUAACAGUAUUAUAGCAUAUUUUUCGUUGUGCACGCCAUUUUGGAUUGUCUGCAUGAGGCAAAGUGGGUAUUCUACCAUCACAUCAGUUACACUCACAUCAGAUCACAGGGUUAUUUUGGUGCUUUGGUGCUAUUUUUGUCCUUAUUCCCUUUUCGUGCAUUGUGUAGACAAACAAAUAUUACAGAUAUUAUUAAGAUGUGUGCCACUCCUGCUGACUUUGAGAAGACUAGUAACUCACCUGUGACACCUUGUUUGAUCCUGUUUGCAUCUUUGGCUAUAUUCAUGGCGAGAACCAGUUAAUCCAUACAAGUUUUAUUCACACAAGUCAAUCCAGACACUGUUGGGGUAGAGACAAUUUGGCAUCUUUGGAUACCCAGAGUAAACCCACGCUGACACAGGGAGAACA